rnacentral:lncRNA from 1 species
GUAACCAGACUGUGAACCAGACUAUCAGGAGUCAGAAAAGUUGCAUGGAUGUGGUCCCCCAAAGAAGCUUAGGGGAUCAUUUUGCUGUGCAGACAAGUCUCCUGACUGUAAAAUGCAGGAGUUGGUCCAAUCUACUGUGAUGUUUUUCUUUUGGUAAUAGUGGCAUGGAGCAGUCACUCCAAGAGGUGUGACUAAGGAAUAAACCAUUCAGCCAGCCUGAGGUUGCAAAGGGUGCUCCAUGGUGAGCCAGAUGCCUCACAGUGCCCACAGAGUGAAUUUAUGACAAGAGACAGCACCCAGAGGUAUGGAAGGAAUCACUUGAAAGGUGGCUGUUGAAGUCGAGUUCCAGUUCCCAAGUAAUAGGUAUUUCCAUUUUAGGCAGUGGAUUUAUGGUUUGAGAAACCCAUCAGAACUUCUGCAUGGGUUCCUAAGAAACCUAAGGAAUGCCCCAGAAAACCCACAGCCACUGAUCAUCCUCACCCCACACCCACUUCUGGAGACCAGACAAUGGGGCUGGAGGAGACCUCAAGAACAAGAGUGGGAGCAAACAGACCAGAUAGGAGAAAUCUCAAGUGUAAGUUUACUGAGUUCUGAUAAUUGCAUACCUCUGGGUAAUCCAAACUCCUCUCCAAACAUUGACCAUGACCAUCAGAACUUCAUAUUAAUAGAAUCAUAUGAUUCCACUUAGAAGAAGGUUGAAAACCAUGAACACUUCAUACUUUCAUGAUGGGGGUGAAGGGGUUUAAAGAGAUGACUUCUAAGAUCCUUCCAGGCUCUGCUGAGCCCUCUACCAGAUUGACUUGCCCAUGUUACUUCUAGGUCCCACGCUCUGUCCCUCCCGAAUGGUACACAGCUCUCGCUGGGUUCCAGAGAAAAUUGGGCAGCUCGACAAUGAACAUGAUGUGUUUCCCCAAGUCUCAUUUUUAAGGCGGCUUUAUCAGGUUUAAUUAGACAGCUGCCAUCUCUUGUGGCUUGCAGUGUAUAUUUAAGGAGAGAAACAUGAGUCGUCCUCUGUGAAAUGAAAA